rnacentral:lncRNA from 1 species
UGGCGGGCAAAAUGGUGCAAGUCCCACCCCGAAAUAUAGGUUUAGGUAAGAAUUUUCAAUUUCGCUCCUCUCCAAAUCUGCUUCUCCUCCCCUGUGCCGUUCCCCUCUCUCUCUUCCCCCCGUUCGCAUCCUUCCCCCCCGCCUCUCUCUCCCCCGUCUGCAUCUCCCCAGAGCAUUCUUGGAGUUGACAUUGAAAAUUUUUAACCCACUAUGAACGCAAAAGGGCAAAAACAAACCAAAACGGCAAGAUCCCGAGAAAUCAAAAGGACAAAAUCAAGAAUAAAAAAGUAAGAACGAUGGUCGAGGCCGGAGAUUUGGAGCUGAGUGGCCUUCAUCGCCAUCAACAGUUCACCUCUCAAUUUUCUCUCCGUUGACGAUGGUAUUUUUCUUCAAAAUAAUCUUGUAUUGUAUUGGGUGAUUGAUAUGGAUUUUCCGGUCACAACUACAUUUUUUGGCAUGUUUUUUAUUUGAAUCGAGAUAUGCAUUGGAUUGAGAAUUGAGAUUAAACAAUUUGGUUCUAAUUAAUUUUAUUUAUUCAGAAAAUUACCAGCUCCGUCCUCUGUUUUGUUUGAAGAGAAAGAAAAGGCUGAAAAGCAGUAACUUUUGAGUUUUGUUAUUGAAUUACAUGAAUUUAGGCAUUUAGCUUUGUGUUGGAAUUACAUUGAAUCAUUGAUAUUAUUUUGAUUCCUAGAUUCUUAGAUGUUUUUUCAUGUAUUGGACCGAGCAGUGGGCAGCAAAUGAGGCUUUAUGUGAAAUUUGAAUUGCAUAGAGUUUAGACAUUAAGGCAAUCAGAUCCUGGAGCUUGGGUGCUAUUUCUGUGAUUACCAAGAGAGCUGCGAACUAAAGGUCAAACACUUGUAAAAACCAUAACUGGAGUAAUAUGAUUAGAAGUAACUACAGGAACACGAACAAUUUAAGUUAUUAGCUUUCUCUUUUUUGGAGUUGAUAAUUAAUUUAUAUAAUAAUAAUCUCUUGAGUGGGCAAGACAAUUUCGCUUGCUGAUCCAGUAAUGAAUACUAGUCUGGAGGAUUGCAGAAUUUAAAUAGUGGGAAUCUUUUGGAUUUGCUAAUGCCAUUAAUUGAUUUUAAGUUCCAACGGCCAUGUUAAUUGUCCUCUAGCUGUUUGUAUUACUCUUUCAUGUCCCUCUUAUAAUUAUGGAUUUUUGACUGUUAUGAAAUAAUCUCCUAAACUCAAGUUACUCUUGCAUUUCAUUAAAUCUAAUUUAUUAACAUUUUGUGAAACUACAGGAGAGUUGAUUUAUAUAAUUUUUGUUCUAAUUUUACAGUUUAGGAAGUGUUAGAUGUUGAGUGACUUGAGUCAAAUGCCAUACCUCUAAUUUCUGUUGCUUUAUUAUUGAUUUUAAGUUAAUAAAUUUAGUUCCUUAAAACUUUUAUAAAUUAAAAAAAUCGAUUGCUUGCUAUGACUUAGGAUGUAACGAUUUGGAUCUCUGUACCCAAGCCAUUAGAUUACGUACUAUCCGCUUUGAGCGGGCCUUGCGUCCACUUACUCUUUAUGGCUUUCUGUCGCUUCUUCCAGGAUUCGAACUCAUAAUCCUUCCCUUAAUUAAGACUUAAGUUGAAUCUUGGUACCAAUUGGGCGAGAGCUCCGAGCUCAUGGAAUUGGUAUCCCAAUGAGCCGUCUAUCAAAUCGUCGCAAUUGACGUUCGAUCCCGAAGAGAAAUCAUCGCACCUACGGUCUAACCAAUUGGGAGAGAAUCAAUAGAUUCCUUUUCGGGAGUGAUUCAUCUGAGGAAACCUUUGCACGCCUCCGUUACCUUUUGGAAACAAAUUGAUAGGAUCCCCUUUUUUACGUCCCCAUGUCGCCAGUUGUUCAAUUGGUAUCAGGAUUCAACUUAAUUCUUAUUUAAGGAAAAUGUUAUGAGUUUGAAUCUUGGAGGACGCGAUAGAAAGCCGUAAGGGAUAAGUGGGCGCAAGGUCCUCCCAAAGCGGACAGUACGUAAGUUAACGGCUUGGGUACAGAGACCCGAGUCGUUACAUAGGAGGCCAAAUUCUAAAGUUCGCCUCACGACCUGUGAAACACAGAUCCGGCCAUGUUUGGGAAUGCACACCAUAUGCAAGGGACUAAUGGGGAUUUUGUUUUUGGACAUUAUUUAUGUUUGAUUAGUAUGAAGUUUCUAAUAUUGCAGAAUAUCUAAAUGCAAUCCAGUUCAGCUGUGAAGUUAUGAUGAUUACCCUAUAUGUUCUGAUAUUAAAUCUUAUGAGGAAAUUACGACAUGAUUACAGUGUUAAGUUUGAAGGGAUUGGAUAUGAAUUUGAGCAAUUUGUAACUCAACUGCUAAUUUGGUCUUGACACAAACUUUUUGCAUUGGCACUGAAGAUCUACUUUGCUAUUAUUUGCAUCUCCAUUGGCUUCCAAUUUAUAGAAAAACUGUUGGUCAUUUGUGCUAAACUUCGAGUUGAGGUUUCUAGCCACUUCCUUUGGUUUACCUAUGAUCUUAAAUUUUUUUCCGAAGUUGGUAACAUGAAGUAGGUAAUUAGUCUACUACCUUGUGGGUGCUUGUUUAACAUGGAUGCUAAUAAUUUUCAGUAAUUUAUUUUCCUUAAGGAUAAAUGCUUAUUUAAUUUCGUCUUUCUACACAACAACUGAUGCUCUUUUACAAAAUUUUGGGCAAUGUGGUCCAUCUUGUCGUCUUUGUUUAUCACGUGUUGUUGUACUUUGAUAUCUUUUAUUGUAUGUGUGUGCAUAUGGCAUGUUAUCCCAUUAUAUGAUUUCAAUAUUGCUGUCAACAUUAAUUUCUAUUCAAAUUUGGAUGGUAAGUAUAUUUCGAUUUUCCCCAGGGAUGUGAUGUCUGUAAUCAUCUCUGUUUAUUUCUGUGUGGUUAAAUCAUGACAAGCUUCUUCCAGGUAUGAUAAAUGACGUGAUGAAUUCCUUUGAAGUCAUAUUUUUAUGCUAUGGAGUUGAUAUCGUGUGAUUUUUCUUUAAUAAAUAGGAUGGAGUCAUUUUGUGCAGCUCACUAUUGCUGUGUGAACAAAGAUGCUAAAAGGUCCAAGUAUUCUGGUAAGUUACUCAAUUAUCACUUUUAUUUUUGUGGUCAAG